CGGGUGAGUAACACGUAUCCAACCUGCCGUCUACUCUUGGACAGCCUUCUGAAAGGAAGAUUAAUACAAGAUGGCAUCAUGAGUCCGCAUGUUCACAUGAUUAAAGGUAUUCCGGUAGACGAUGGGGAUGCGUUCCAUUAGAUAGUAGGCGGGGUAACGGCCCACCUAGUCUUCGAUGGAUAGGGGUUCUGAGAGGAAGGUCCCCCACAUUGGAACUGAGACACAGUCCAA
rnacentral:rRNA from 1 species